rnacentral:sRNA from 1 species
GCCAGGCACGGUGGCACAGACCUGUAAUCUUAACUACUUGGGAGGCUGAGGCAGGAGCAUCACUAGUUCAAGAUUGACCUGGGCAAUUUAGUGAGACCCUGUCUCAA